UUCUUGGCUUCCUGAGCCUCACUCAGUUUCCCCUAGUGUCAAAUGGGAAUAUAACUUUUUUACAGUGUUACUGUAAGGCUUGAAUGAGAUAAUGAAUCUAUUCCAGUGUCUGGUACAUAGCAAGUGUUUAAGUAAAUGUCCGUCCCUGUUAAUGAUAAUAGUAGAUGGCACUCACUGACAGCUUAUUCUCUGCCAAGCCUUAGUCUAAGUGCUUUUUAUGGACUAAUCCACUGAGCCUUCCAGUGCUACUCUAAGGCAGUUUGUGGCUCUAGGAGAUAGUUAUCUGCCUGUUGCUUUAUUGUUGUGGCAGUGGUUGUUGCCUAGAUCCUACUCAUGAGUAGAAUGGUAUAGGCUGAGGGUUAAAUAAAGGUUCAUGAUUGUGAUUUCACUUUGACAUAAAAAUAAGAAUAGUAAGUGAGGAAUCUGCUCUCCUAGACAGUCCUCUGAGUCCUGACUCCUUCCUCUUUAGCCACUGCCAACCUAACAAACCAAAUCAAGAGACAAGAAUGAAUCUUCAGGCCAUUCGGUCCUCAGCAAAGGACCUUUCCUUUCAUAGCAGUUUAUAGGGAAGAGGGAACAGCAAAAGCCUUUGUCACCAGUGACAUCAGUGAUAAGUCAAAGAAGUCACUUCUUAGGUGCCUGGUUGGGAUGUUAUUCUCUUGUCACUCAUUGCCCCUACACACAUAAAGACCCACAUUGCCUUCAGCAAGGCCACCUACCCAUGUAUAUAUGAACAGGAGACAUGAGUUUUAGAUAUUUGCAAGUAUGUGUCAUGUAUAUUUGAGGGCAUGCCUCUAGGUAAACAUGUUCAGAGAGCAAAGACUGUGAAAUUGUGACUGAAGAGAGACUGUCUCUACUGUCUUUCCUCUUCCUUCCUAAUUGACAAGAGGUUAUCAUAAAACACAGGUUACCACCUCCUGUAUCUUUUUUGAGAACAUCCUGGCUGGUCCAGGUCUAUCUAAUCAGUGUGUGUGUGUGUAUGUGUGUGUGUAUGUGUGUGGGUGGGUGUGUAAGGAGUGGUAGGUAGUUUAAUUGCCUUUCAUCACCAUGGAAACUGAAUGGCAAAACUAUCUGGAACAUGAAUCUGAGGCUCUUGACCAACAGCUGCUCUUCUAGGACAGAGAAGGAGACAGGCAGGGGCUGCAUCUCAGGAGGAGCUGAAGAGAGGGAAGUGAGAAAUGGUUACUCUUUUCCACCAGUGUUCAACUGUGGGUACUAGGACAGGACUUUGGAAUUAUUUCAGUCUGGUGCCCUGGGGAUGUAAAAUGAAUUUUUGUUAGAGACAAAUCUACUCAGUAAAGUUCAAGAACUUUGCACCUAAAUUAUCUGGACUCAACCCCAAGUGGAUUGACUAAAAACGGAAAGACAGGUUAUUGUCUUCAUUGAAUUGAUUUACCAUGUUCUCCUUCAAACUCUGGAGAUCAUAUAUUCUCUGGGAAUGAGUGGAAGGAAGAAGAAUGUAAGGGAGUAAUAUUUUGUUUCUUUUUUAUUUUUUUAGUUAACAGAGAGGAUUCCCAGUGUGCAGAGUGUGGAUACUGCCUCAGUCUCCUUAAUUAGCUGAGUGGAAAAACUCCGCACCUACAAAGGUACAGACAGAAUGCCGCCCAAAGGAGAAGAGUCACAAGUGAGAGACAGGCUGUCAUCCGGGUGUGAGGCAUCACCCCCACAAGAACAGAAAGGCUUGGAGGACAUCUUCCAAGUGGCUCACAAACCCCGGGACCCCAACCCCUGCCCAUGGAUAGCUCAGUCCUAUUCCUGCCCAUCUGAUUUAAGAACAUAUUUCCUUUUUAUAAAGUUCCAAUCCUAGUCUGGGAUUGGACAAAGGCCAGGGGACAGAAGAAGGCAAUUCUUUCUAUGGUUGGGGCAGGAAGUGGACAUUGGCCCGGAAUUCCUCUGAUGAAGGGGAUUGUUGAUUUGAUGGACUGAGAUUUUUUCUAGGCGGUCCUGAGAGCUGGCUCCAGGCAUUCCUACUGAUAGCUAGAUCUCCCUUCACCAACUUCACAAAAGUCUUGAGAAGGAACCUUCCAUUUUCUGCUCAUGUAACUGGGAGAAAAGUAUCCUUUCAUUUCUAAGGAAAAUGAAAUUUCAUUUGCUGGUGAUAGUGGUAGGGUGAAGCAGCCAUUAAAAGUCCACUGGAGAUUCCAGGAAAAAAAAAAACUGUAAAGUGAAAUAAGGGAAAGAAAGGGUAUGUUGGGUUCUAAAGGGUAGGACA